rnacentral:rRNA from 1 species
UACGAAGGGGGCUAGCGUUGUUCGGAUUUACUGGGCGUAAAGCGCACGUAGGCGGAUCGUUAAGUCGGGGGUGAAAUCCUGGAGCUCAACCCCAGAACUGCCUUCGAUACUGGCGAUCUUGAGUCCGGAAGAGGUGAGUGGAACUCCUAGUGUAGAGGUGGAAUUCGUAGAUAUUAGGAAGAACACCAGUGGCGAAGGCGGCUCACUGGUCCGGUACUGACGCUGAGGUGCGAAAGCGUGGGGAGCAAACAGG